AGCGAACGCUGGCGGCAGGCCUAACACAUGCAAGUCGAACGGAUCCUUCGGGAUUAGUGGCGGACGGGUGAGUAACACGUGGGAACGUGCCCUUUGGUUCGGUACAACUCAGGGAAACUUGAGCUAAUACCGGAUGUGCCCUUCGGGGGAAAGAUUUAUCGCCAUUGGAGCGGCCCGCGUCUGAUUAGCUAGUUGGUGAGGUAACGGCCCACCAAGGCGACGAUCAGUAGCUGGUCUGAGAGGAUGAUCAGCCACACUGGGACUGAGACACGGCCCAGACUCCUACGGGAGGCAGCAGUGGGGAAUCUUGCGCAAUGGGCGAAAGCCUGACGCAGCCAUGCCGCGUGAAUGAUGAAGGUCUUAGGAUUGUAAAAUUCUUUCAGCGGGGACGAUAAUGACGGUACCCGCAGAAGAAGCUCCGGCUAACUUCGUG
rnacentral:rRNA from 1 species